CUUUUUUCUCGGGUUGCCAUAGAAACCUGACGUAAUAAGCGUGCGGCUGCGCCUUUUGCCUAGUACUUCAACAGAAACAUGAGGUAACAAGGGUGACCACGGUACCUUUUUACUGGCAGGUGCCAUAGAAACCUGACAUAAUAAGGGCAACCGUGGCGAUAGUUUCCCGGCUGGUGCCAUAGCGCCUGACGUAGUAUGUGCGACCCCAGCAACUCUUGCAUAGCACUUGCCAUAGAAAGCUGACUUAAUACGACCAUGGCCAAUAUUCCUUCCAGCUGCCAUAAAUACCACAUGUCAUAAGGGCGCCCACGGCAACUUUUCCAUCAGACUUGCCAUAGAAUGCUGGAAGAUUUACUGGCAGGACAAAUUGCCUGAUGGAGUGGAGUGGAGAAGAAAGCAUACAUCUCCUCAUUACUUUUUAUUUGAUGUCCUUUCUUACCAUCUUCUUUUAUCUACUAUUUGGACAUUGGAAUAACAGCCUCCCAUUGAGCCCCAGAGAGGAGACAGUACAGAUGACAGAGCACAAAGAAAGGAAGUAAUGAUGCCCAUCUCAGAGCAUGGCUUUGAGGAUUUGAAGAGUAAAGGUCUGAAAAUAACAACUUACAGCAUGUACCAUCUAUAUGACAUCUGACAAGGAUGUGGAAUAUUCCCUAGACCAGGAGCUCAUAGAGAAGAACCCAGUGUGUUGUGGAGUCCACUAAAUAGGUUACUGGAGCAAGAGUGAAGAAAUCAGGCUUCCUUCGUUGGGACAUGUCAGAGAUGGGGUCUUGCUCUUGCUCAGGCUGGUCUCGAACUC